AAACAUUUCCUGAUGGCUGUUUUUCAACAUUUAAUCUUGUGACAAUAAGAAAACAUGAUCAUCUCUGAACUUCAUCAGCAACCUCCUAAGCCAUCUCGUAACUUCUGCGUCCUCCAAAGUUGAAGAUCUCAGAUGUUUACGAUACAAAGUGAAAGGCUGUAACUUUGCAGAUGCAUCAACCCACCAUUCUACAUCAACGUGGUAGCAGGAUCUUCACUUUAAUCUGCCAAAAUUCCAAGUUUUAGGAUGAGGAUGACAACUUUGAUGAAGGGACUUCAGAAUAUGAGCUCACUCUGUGGCGUGACACUCAGGACAUGAUCCAUUUUCACAUGUUCACCACUAGCAGGAGCACCACUGGUGGGUGAGGAGACCCCUGAGAGCUCAAUUUUCAUAAAGAUGUAACAGUAACAGUAAAAAGGCUUGUCUGG
rnacentral:lncRNA from 1 species